rnacentral:misc_RNA from 1 species
GGCUGGAUCACCUCCUUUCUAAAGGAUAAUCAGCGGACGAGUGGCGACACUCGCCCGUUACCAUGUGGAGACAGUUCUUGUGUUAGCAAAGAGGACCGUCUCGAGCUGAAGCAUCGCCGCAAGGCGCCGCCGAAGCUCGGGACAGCUACCAAAUUGGAUUUGAUAAAGACCCGUUCGGUCGAGCCAGGCCGAGCGGGUCUUUUUUUGCGCAAACGAUCAACGCGAAGGGAUCAACGAUAGUUGGCCGACGCGUAGCGCCAGGGGCUUGCCCGACGCACUCGCCCGCGCGGUAGCCCACCGCCAAUCGCUCGCAUCGUUUCAUCGUUUCGCGUUGAUCGUUCCGCCCCAAAAAGUUGCACAGCCCCUCACCCAGCGAUAGAUUGACAACCACCCCACUCCAUUGCCAGCCAGGGAAUCUCUCAUGUCGCUCAACUUGCUGAAACGCGCGCUGCUCAGUUUUUUGCUCACUCUAGCGUUCUCGCUGUCCCCCUCGCUAGCCCUUUCGCUCGCCUUUGCGUCGCCCGCCUGCGCCGGGCAGGACGACGGCAAGCUGGACGUCUACUUCAUCGACACCGAAGGGGGCGCCGCGACCCUGAUCGUCACCCCGGCCGGCGAAUCGGUGCUCGUCGACACUGGAAAUCGCGGCGAUCGCGACCCGGGUCGCAUCUUCGCCGCCGCCCAGGCGGCCGGAAUCAAGCGGAUCAAUCACGUGGUGAUCACCCACUUCCAUGGAGAUCACUUUGGCGGCCUCAGUGGACUCGCCACGCUGAUGCCGAUGCAGCAUCUUUACGACAACCAAAACGAGAACCCGACGCGCGACCGCCCCUCGGAGCUGUAUCUCCAGGCGAAGGUCGACGAUCGUUCCCUGCUCAGCCCCGGCGAUGUCUUGCCGCUGAUCCAGCGCGCCGGCGCGCCGACGCUGACCAUCCGGUGCCUAGCGGCUCGCAAGCAGCGGAUCGAGCCGCCGGCUGGCGCCAAGCCGAAUCCUUUCGACAAGGAUCACAAGCCCAAGGCCGAAGAUCUCUCGGAUAACGCCAACAGCAUCGUGCUGUUGGUCACGUUUGGCGACUUCAAGUUCUUUGACGCGGGCGACUUGACCUGGAACAUGGAGUACGAGCUGGCCGCACCGCUCAACCGGAUCGGCACGGUCGAUGUGUACCAGGUCACCCACCACGGCCUGUCGGUGAGCAAUAAUCCGGUGCUGGUCAAGGCGAUCGAGCCGACCGUCGCCAUCAUGAACAACGGCGUGACCAAGGGUUGUGAUCCGGAAGUCUUUGCCACGCUCAAAUCGACCGCGUCGAUCAAGGAUAUUUUUCAACUCCACAGGAAUCUGCGGCCCGAUGGCGACGUCAACAAUGUCGAGGCGAAGUUCAUUGCGAACCUGGAAAAGAACUGCGACGGAAACCUGAUUCACCUGGCGGUGAGUCCCGACGGGAAGCAGUACACCGUUUCCAUCCCGGCCA